GACGAACGCUGGCGGCGUGCCUAAUACAUGCAAGUCGAACGCAGUGGGGACGGGUGAGUAACACGUGGGUAACCUCCCAUCAGAGGGGAUAACACUUGGAAACAGGUGCUAAACCGAUACUGAUUGAUGGACCCGGGGUGCAUUAGCUCGUUGGUGAGGUAACGGCUCACCAAGGCCACGAUGCAUAGCCGACCUGAGAGGGUGACCGGCCACACUGGGACUGAGACACGGCCCAGACUCCUACGGGAGGCAGCAGUGGGGAAGAUUGGACAAUGGACGAAAGUCUGACCGAGCCAUGCCGCGUGAGUGAAGAAGGUUUUCGGAUUGUAAAACACUGUCGUUAGAGAAGCGGUAUCUAAAGAGAAAGCCACGGCUAACUACGUGCCAGCAGCCGCGGUAAUUC
rnacentral:rRNA from 1 species